GGAGGCGCGUCCUGCAGUCUCCAGUUGGUCGGGUUCCACGCUCACCUGUACUUGGUGCAAAGUGGAAGCGCAGCGGGUGCAACCGCGAGUUAGAAGAAGGACUGGCAGGGGGCUCCGGGCCCUCGGGGGUCGGAGGGAAGGGCGGGGCGGAGCUGGCCCCGGUCCGCGGAGGGUGGACGCGCGCUCUCCUCCAUCCCUCGGGAGGGAGUCUCCAAGCGGCUUUCCGCUGGUCCCGGAGAAGAGCGGCGAGAGCCAGGCUGGCCUCCUGUCCCGCAGGCCUCAGGGCGGGCGCGCUCUGCAGCCUUUCUUUGCCUGAAGAAGGUGCUUUGUGAGGGUGAAAGGUCUGGUAUCCCAACUCCUGGCCCUUUCUCAAGAGCAUCCGAAAAUGAACAAAUCCCAGCAGUCUCCAAAGUGAAGGGUAGGGAGCACCCCGAGAAUCCAAUGGGAUUCUAUUCACCUUGGAUUGAACAUAUUCUUUCGGAGAUCAGUUUCAUCCAAGGACCUGACUGUGGACUUCACCCGGGAGGAGUGGCAGCAACUGUGUCCUGCUCGGAGGCUCCUGGACAGGGCUGUGAUUCUGGAAAACUACAGACAGCUGGUCUCCGUGGGGUAUCAUGUUAGCAAACCAGAUGUGAUCUUCAAACUGGAGCAAGGAGAAGAGCCACGGAUAGUGGAGGAAUUCUCAGGUCAGAACUACCCAGAGGCGCCAACUAAGAGGACUUACUGGUACUCCACCCCCCAGGCCCCACAGUGGGAAUGCCACUGAAAAAGAAAGAGACCCCCCAAGAGACCCUUCUCCCCUUCCACCAUGUGAGGACACAGUGGGAAGGCCCCAGUUGUGAACCAGGAAGAGAACCCUCACCAGAAGAACCUUCAUCUUGGACUUCUCAGCCUCCAGAACUUGGAGAAAUAAAUUUCUGUGGCUUGUAAGCUACCCAGUCUGACAUUUUGUCACAGCGGCUCAAAUGGACUCUGAUAACUACUUCUCCACCUCCACCCUUCCAAAUUUCACCUAAGACCUCACUGGAAAUGUACAGGGAAGGGAACUCUGGGGAAUAUAGCUCAGCCAAGCCAACGUGACACAUUACAAGGUCAUCACAUUCCCCUGUUCUCUUCAAGGUAGGAACAGUGGACACUUCCCCCUGUUGCUAGCUAGCCCUGUGUGUCCCCCACCAUCCUUGUCAGUUUCCCCCAGCCCUGCCCACACUUGUAGAGAAUCUCUUCAUCCCAUUUUCUUUCAUGCCUUUUGAAUGCACUGCUUCCUAACAGGACUGAUUGCAUAUUUGGUGCCAGAAGUGGCCCCAGGAAACAGACUGUCAGAAUGGAAAUAAUAAGAUCCUGGAGUGGCAGAGGCCAGGUGUCAGGACCCAACCCUUGGAGACACAGUGGACAGUGAUCAUAACAUGCCUUAGGGCAGAGUGGUAAUCAGAGGAUUUUGGCCUGCUGGUGACAGCUAAUUGGUCAUGGAGACUCGAAUAUGGGCAGCCUUCUAAGGUAUAGCUUGACCUACAAGUGGAAAAUGUCUGGGUCUCCUGGACAGAAGCCUGAUGAGUGAUUAUAGUGGAGAUUCACUGUACCUUCUUCAGUUCCCAAACCUAAGUCCACUCCUAGGCCCAAAGUAGCUUCAGGGAGGACCUUUGAAUAAGGGCCUGCAAUGUACCCAUAGGAGACAGUGGGAGUCUUCCUCCAGGCCUUCCCAGAGGGAGAUGUGGUUAUUUACCAGCGUAACUAUGCCCUGGAGAAAGGGAAAUACUCGGACCUCCAAGGGUCAUUAGGUGUUGGCUCCAAUAUAAUGCUAUUUCUUUGAUUCCCAAACACCGCCAUGUCAGAGUAGGGACUUCUGUAAUGGUCACGAGACAGAUGGAGUUUGGGCCUGAGUCUACCUCGCAAAGGAUUUAUUUCCAUCAGUUGAACCACAAGCCCAUCCUGUGGUUAUUUCCUCAGAAUGUGUAAUAGAGACAGACUUAGCAGCCGGCAGAUUUCCUGUCUAUGAAGGUAUUACAUUGAUACUCUUGUAGCCCAUGAUAAUCUAGUUUGGUAAUUUUUAAAUUUAGACCCUCCCCACCCGAAUCCCCAAAUCGUCUGAGAGGUAGCAACUGAUUUCAUGUAAAUAUCCAACAUUGCUUGUAUGGUGUACAGAGAUUACAGUAUGCUGUGUACUUCAAUUUUGCAUUCUGCGCAAGUUGAAUGGUCUUCACAGAGAUAAUUUAAUCUUUAAUAAAGUUAAAACAUUCAUCUAA